rnacentral:rRNA from 1 species
UACAGAGGGUGCAAGCGUUAAUCGGAAUUACUGGGCGUAAAGCGCGCGUAGGUGGUUUGUUAAGUUGAAUGUGAAAUCCCCGGGCUCAACCUGGGAACUGCAUCCAAAACUGGCAAGCUAGAGUAUGGUAGAGGGUGGUUGGAAUUUCCUGGUGUAGCGGUGAAAUGCGUAGAUAUAGGAAGGAACACCAGUGGCGAAGGCGACCACCUGGACUGAUACUGACACUGGAGGUGCGAAAGCGUGGGGAGCAAACAGGAUAGAAACCCUG